CCUACGGGAGGCAGCAGUCGGGAAUAUUGCACAAUGGGGGAAACCCUGAUGCAGCAACGCCGCGUGAAGGAAGGCGGUUUUCGGAUUGUAAACUUCUGUUCUUAGUGAAGAAUAAUGACGGUAGCUAAGGAGCAAGCCACGGCUAACUACGUGCCAGCAGCCGCGGUAAUACGUAGGUGGCAAGCGUUGUCCGGAAUUACUGGGUGUAAAGGGAGCGCAGGCGGGAAGCCAAGUCAGGUGUGAAAACUACGGGCUUAACUUGUAGACUGCAGUUGAAACUGGUUUUCUUGAGUGAAGUAGGGGUUAGCGGAAUUCCGGGUGUAGCAGUGAAAUGCGUAGAUAUUGGGAGGAACACCGGUGGCGAAGGCGGCCAACUGGGCUUUAACUGACGCUGAGGCUCGAAGGUGAGGGGAGCGAAAGGGAUUAGAUACCCCAGUAGUC
rnacentral:rRNA from 1 species